rnacentral:rRNA from 1 species
AACGGCCGUACCAUACUGAAUAUACCGGUUCUCGUUAGAUCACCGAAGUCAAGCAUCAUUGGGCGCGGUCAGUACUUGGGUGGGUGACCACCUGGGAACACUGCGUGCCGUU